CCUACGGGUGGCAGCAGUGGGGAAUAUUGCACAAUGGGGGAAACCCUGAUGCAGCGACGCCGCGUGGGUGAAGAAGUACUUCGUUAUGUAAAGCCCUAUCAGCAGGGAAGAAAAUGACGGUACCUGACUAAGAAGCCCCGGCUAACUACGUGCCAUCAGCCGCGGUAAUCCGUAGGGGGCCAGCGUUAUCCGGAUUUACUGGGUGUAAAGGGAGCGUAGACGGCAGUGCAAGUCUGGAGUGAAAGGCCGGGGCUCAACCCCCGGACUGCUUUGGAAACUGUAAGGCUGGAGUGCAGGAGAGGUAAGUGGAAUUCCUAGUGUAGCGGUGAAAUGCGUAGAUAUUAGGAGGAACACCAGUGGCGAAGGCGGCUUGCUGGACGGUAACUGACGUUGAGGCUCGAAAGCGUGGGGAGCAAACAGGAUUAGAUACCCUUGUAGUC
rnacentral:rRNA from 1 species